rnacentral:rRNA from 2 species
AAACGACUCUCGGCAACGGAUAUCUCGGCUCUUGCAUCGAUGAAGAACGUAGCGAAAUGCGAUACUUGGUGUGAAUUGCAGAAUCCCGUGAACCAUCGAGUCUUUGAACGCAAGUUGCGCCCGAAGCCAUUAGGCCGAGGGCACGCCUGCCUGGGCGUCACA